UGGGGUAUAGCCAAGUGGUUACGGCACCGGUCUUUGAUAUCGGCAUUCUCUGGUUCGAAUCCAGAUACCCCAU
rnacentral:tRNA from 1 species